AUGCCAGUAGUGUUUGUGCUAGGGAAUCAAUAAGCCUAGGGACUUGAUUUUCAAGUUACGGCGAGCGAACUGGCUAAGUCUUCGGAUAGGUUUUAGUAGCUCUGAAAGUGCCACAGUGACGGAGUUUUUAGGGAAACCUAAAAAGUGGAACGCGGUAAACCCCUCAAGCUAGCAACCCAAACUUUGGUAGGGGCAUGGGAUGGCCGGAAACGAACGGACCAUUCUGACUGCUAUGCAGUAGACAGAUGAUUAUCGAAGGAAGUGGUACCUAGUCACUUCUGGAACAGAACAUGGCUUAUAG
rnacentral:RNase_P_RNA from 1 species